rnacentral:lncRNA from 1 species
AGGGCAGGUUCCCUAGAAAAGCAGUAUAGGGUGGCGAUUUUGGAAGACGGCUCCGGUCGAUAUUGGGUUCCCGAGCAGCCCGUGGAGCAGUGGGCAGGAUGGAACGGUCAAUUGGAGGUGCCCUAUACACGUCAUCAUCAUUACUGUGCCAAGUGGUUGAAACUAGGAUAGAAAAGUGGAUGUUUAAGAAAUCAGAGCAAACUCCCCUCACUGCUGCUGGAGAAUAAAAAGAUCCAUGCUAAGUACCCGCUAUUAAAUAAGCCACACCAGGAAAAAAACAGAUAAAAAGGCACUUAAAUAAAUGCAUUUUACACAGAGAAAAUGCUUCUGAAAUGUCAGUAUCAGAUUAGCAAUGCAAAAAACUCAGUAUUCACUGUCUCUUGGUUUCUAGAGACCUUUAAAGACCCAGGCUUUUUAUGAACAGAAUCAUAGUAACUCUUAUUCCUUAUACAGCAAAGAAAAGUAUCAACUAUUUAUGGAAUGUUACUGUGUGCAGGUAUUUUAUAUUCAUUAUAUCCCAUCUUAUCUUUAUAACAACCCUGUGAGGUUGUUCCCAUUCUACAGAAAAGGAAACUCAGAUUUCAGAUUUAGUAACGUGCCCAAGAUUACAAAGAUGGCAGAGUAGUAGAUGGUAAUCCUAGCAUAGGUAGGACUCAAACCAAGGUCCCUCUCAUUCCAAAUGUAUUUAAACAUUAUUGACAACUCUCAUAUUCCUAACUUUUUGGGUGGACAAAGUGUUUUCCUUAUGGUUGAUCCCCCUCUUUACAAAAAACAACUCAAUUCCAUCCUAUUCCUCAGACCAUUUUGUUUACCCAUGCCUUCAUAAAAAUAGUUCCUAGAACAAAUUAUUCCUUAACUCUGGGUAUAAACAGCUUAUAGAUUAUGCUGUAAUAACAGGAUAUCAUACAAUUUUAGUAAUCUAGUCCCUAACUUUUCCAAUGAAAAUGAGGAUUAAAAGCCUUGAGAAAAGUAUGUUAACAAGAGGGAGAACUAGUACUAAGUUCUCCUGAAUCACAAUUUCAGUCCCUCAUCAUGAACUCUUAUCGCCUAAACCUAAAAUUCUAUGAAAUACACAAACUUAGACCUAAGGUUCUACAAAACGAUUAAAUUCCUUUCAGAUUACAUGUGUGAACCAUUAUUAUGGAAUGAGUUUUGUCUCAGAAGAGAAUGAAAAUUUCAAGCAUGAUGGAAACUAAAAAAAUUACCAUCUCCUUCCAGGUCGUCUGUUUCAUCAGCCCAGCUGACUGGUUUGGGGACAUAAGUACUUCCUCCCCCAGUCCCUCCAUCCUCAGCCAGAAAGUCUGUUAGGGAGAUAGUUUUCCCCUUCUUAUUCUUCUUUUUUGCUGUUUUAAAAAAGCAAAAGAUUAUUUACCAUUACUUGGGUAUUUAAAAGAGUUGUACAAUGCGCUGUGAAAAGAAAGCAACAUAGGGGCGCCUUGGGUGGCUCAGUCGGUUAGACAUCGUACUUUGGGUCAGGUCAUGAUCUUGCAGUUCGUGAGUUCGAGCCCUACAUAGAGCUCUGUGUUGACAGCUCAGAGCCUGGAGCCUGCUUUGGGUUCUGGGUCUUCCUCUCUCUCUCUGCCCCUCCCCUGCUUGCACUGUCUCUCUCAAAAAUAAACAAAACAACAACAACAAAAGAUUUUCAACAUUAAGACUGGGAUGGGGGCAACCUUUUAUUUUCUACUAUAUUCACUCGUGUAUCAUUUGAAAAUUUUAAUUUAGUAACUACUUGGGUUUAAGACAGGUAACUACAUUUGUAGCUUCUGGUAUACAAAGAACUAAAACAAAACUCCUACCCCUAAUAACAUAUUCUGAAUGGGAUUUAUGAGGAUUGUUUGAUACUUGUAAAAUAACCACACAAAGUAGGAAUCAUUGCUAUCAAUUUACAAAAAAGAAAACUAAGUCUCAGAGAGGUUACAUGACUAUCCUACAGUUACAGAGAUAUUAGAUAGCAGAGCUAGAAUUAAACCCAGGGUUUUGGAUACCAAAUCUAGGGCUCUUCCCACAGGAGCCCCAGCCUCUAAGAAGCCUGUUAGUAGUUCUAUUGUGUGUGCGUGUGUGUAAUGGGGCGGGGGGGGGGUAUGAUUAAGACUAUACAAAAUUGGAUCUCCCUGCCCUCUAGGAAAAAAAAUUCUCUCCUUCUUUACCCUAACACCACAUUGAAGAUGAGAUAGGGCACUAAAGAUAAAACAUAAGAAGCCCCUAAGACCCAACACAUUUGAAUGUUCUGUGUUUAUGAAAUCUUUAGGAAUUUCCAAAUGGUUCUAUUUAGUGGACUAACCUUGGCUCUCCAUCUAGUUCUCAGAACCUCUUCUGAGAUGGCAUCUAUCAACAGCUAAUGCAGAAGAGCCAAAAGGACUAAAUAAAGUUCUAAGACUGGCUCCUGAGAGUAGCCCCUACAUACCGAAAAAAGCAAGCAGCUUUUGUUGUAACAAAGAUCAGUUUCAUGGUUUUUAUAAUCAUGAGUUCCUCCUCCAUGUUCCAAUUCUCAUAUAAUUUUCAGUCCAAGAAGACUAAAAAUUUGUAACAUGAUGCAACCAUUUGUUUAACUGAAGGUUGCUCUCACCCAGCACCUUUCUUUAAAAUCCAACUUUCAGGAAAUAAAGAUGACCUGUUUGCUAUGAAUGUUAUGAACAGCCUCUGGACGCACUAAGAA